AUGAAUGGUGUGUUGGGCAUGUACUGGAGUGACAACAUGUAUGAGAUGAGCGACAAGGCCAAGGACGCUGAGCUGGGCAAGAGGCUCUGGCUUUACUGUCAAGCUUGGUUGUCACCUGACUUGGAUUUGUGUCGCUUGCACGCAUACCAGCAGUUGUCGCCACUGUCUUCGGCAAAGGUGGUACGCUGUCUUGGUUAUGGCAUUGACGGUACGGCAAGGUUUUCGCCCUCUAUCCUUGGCAUUGGCUCCCACGACUGCCCCCUCGGCUACCACCACCGAGACAAAGAGCUGCUCGCUAGCUGUGAAAGACAUGAGAAGAAAUAUGGUCCUCCAAAUAAAAUUUAA
rnacentral:rRNA from 1 species